ACGGGGGGCCUACGGGAGGCAGCAGUGGGGGAUAUUGCACAAUGGAGGAAACUCUGAUGCAGCAACGCCGCGUGAAGGAAGACGGUCUUCGGAUUGUAAACUUUUGUACCUAGGGACGAUAAUGACGGUACCUAGGCAGCAAGCUCCGGCUAACUACGUGCCAGCAGCCGCGGUAAUA
rnacentral:rRNA from 1 species